UCAUUCUAGAAACACUUUCCAGUACCUCUACUUUGUUACGACUUAUUCCAAUUUUUAAAUGAAAGCGACGGGCAAUAUGUACAUAUUUUAAUUUUUAAUCAUUUUAUUAUAUUAAAUAAAAUUACAUUUAAAUCCACCUUCAUUUUUAUAUUACAAAAAAAAAUCCAUUUAAAUAUAUUUAUUGUAAUCCAUCAUAUUCUUAAUUAUAUUCUACAUCUUGAUCUGAAUUAAUUUUUAUUUAUAAUUUUUAAAUAUUAUUAUUAUUUUAAAAUAUUUUUUUAACAACGAUAUAUAAAAUUUUAAAUUAAGUAAAUUUAAUCGUGGAUUAUCAAUUAUUAGACAGAUUCCUCUAAAUGAACUAAAAUACCGCCAAAUUAUUUAAGUUUCAAUAAAUUAUUAUUUACUAUUUUAGUAUUUAUAAAUUAAAUUUUA
rnacentral:rRNA from 1 species